GACGAACGCUGGCGGCGUGCUUAACACAUGCAAGUCGAACGGAAAGGCCCUGCUUUUGUGGGGUGCUCGAGUGGCGAACGGGUGAGUAACACGUGAGUAACCUGCCCUUGACUUUGGGAUAACUUCAGGAAACUGGGGCUAAUACCGGAUAGGAGCUCCUGCUGCAUGGUGGGGGUUGGAAAGUUUCGGCGGUUGGGGAUGGACUCGCGGCUUAUCAGCUUGUUGGUGGGGUAGUGGCUUACCAAGGCUUUGACGGGUAGCCGGCCUGAGAGGGUGACCGGCCACAUUGGGACUGAGAUACGGCCCAGACUCCUACGGGAGGCAGAAGUGGGGAAUAUUGCACAAUGGGCGGAAGCCUGAUGCAGCAACGCCGCGUGCGGGAUGACGGCCUUCGGGUUGUACACCGCUUUCGCCUGUGACGAAGCGUGAGUGACGGUAAUGGGUAAAGAAGCACCGGCUAACUACGUG
rnacentral:rRNA from 1 species